rnacentral:rRNA from 1 species
GAUUAAGUUAUUAAGGGCGCACGGUGGAUGCCUUGGCACUAGAAGCCGAUGAAGGACGUUACUAACGACGAUAUGCUUUGGGGAGCUGUAAGUAAGCUUUGAUCCAGAGAUUUCCGAAUGGGGAAACCCAGCAUGAGUUAUGUCAUGUUAUCGAUAUGUGAAUACAUAGCAUAUCAGAAGGCACACCCGGAGAACUGAAACAUCUUAGUACCCGGAGGAAGAGAAAGAAAAUUCGAUUCCCUUAGUAGCGGCGAGCGAAACGGGAAGAGCCCAAACCAACAAGCUUGCUUGUUGGGGUUGUAGGACACUCUAUACGGAGUUACAAAGGACGACAUUAGACGAAUCAUCUGGAAAGAUGAAUCAAAGAAGGUAAUAAUCCUGUAGUCGAAAAUGUUGUCUCUCUUGAGUGGAUCCUGAGUACGACGGAGCACGUGAAAUUCCGUCGGAAUCUGGGAGGACCAUCUCCUAAGGCUAAAUACUCUCUAGUGACCGAUAGUGAACCAGUACCGUGAGGGAAAGGUGAAAAGCACCCCGGAAGGGGAGUGAAAUAGAACCUGAAACCGUGUGCUUACAAGUAGUCAGAGCCCGUUAAUGGGUGAUGGCGUGCCUUUUGUAGAAUGAACCGGCGAGUUACGAUUUGAUGCAAGGUUAAGCAGUAAAUGUGGAGCCGUAGCGAAAGCGAGUCUGAAUAGGGCGUUUAGUAUUUGGUCGUAGACCCGAAACCAGGUGAUCUACCCUUGGUCAGGUUGAAGUUCAGGUAACACUGAAUGGAGGACCGAACCGACUUACGUUGAAAAGUGAGUGGAUGAACUGAGGGUAGCGGAGAAAUUCCAAUCGAACCUGGAGAUAGCUGGUUCUCUCCGAAAUAGCUUUAGGGCUAGCCUCAAGUGAUGAUUAUUGGAGGUAGAGCACUGUUUGGACGAGGGGCCCCUCUCGGG